AUUGUAUGCUUACUUCAAAAGUUUGAACUGUCGAUAUUAGCUGACCACAAAUGAUGCAUGAACAACUGCGAGAAAUUCUUUGUAUUUAUUUUUGACUUUUCAAUUACCAUUUUUCGCCUGCUUUUCAUAAACGGCUACCACAUCCAAGGAAGGCAGCAAGCGCGCAAAUUACCCACUCUCGGCAUGAGGAGGUAGUGACGAAAAAUAACGAGACCGUUCUCUAUGAGGCCGGUUAUCGGAAUGGGUACAAUUUAAACCCGUUAACGAGGAUCUAUGAGAGGGCAAGUCUAGUGCCAGCAGCCGCAGUAAUUCCAGCUCUCAAAGUGUAUAU
rnacentral:ncRNA from 1 species